UACGUAGGUGACAAGCGUUGUCCGGAUUUACUGGGCGUAAAGCGCUCGCAGGUGGUCCGAUGCGUCGUGCGUGAAAGACCCCGGCUCAACUGGGGGGCGUCGUGCGAUACGGUCGGACUGGAGGCCAGUAGGGGGAUGCGGAAUUCCGGGUGUAGUGGUGGAAUGCGUAGAGAUCCGGAGGAACACCAGCGGCGAAGGCGGCAUCCUGGACUGGUCCUGACACUCAGGAGCGAAAGCGUGGGGAGCGAUCCGG
rnacentral:rRNA from 1 species